UUUUUCCUUCGUGAAGAUAAGAUUUGCCACCAUACCUGGGUUCUCUUCUUGUAUAUUUUUCAUACGAAGGAUGGAAAGUUGGUUUUUGUCUUCCUCGGUCAUGUUCUCCAGGUCCAACUGAGCCACCUCAUUUUGUAGGCUUCUAAUCUUAGCAGUGGUUGCCUCAUCGGCGGAGGGAACUGCUAGUGGAGCUCCAAAUAGGAAAGCAUCAACAAUGGGAUCGGCCAAUGGUGUCCCAAAUGAGUGCAUCUUUCCAUUGUUUGUUUCUAGGACGACCGCAACCCUAGCCCUAGUGAGGGCAGAGAUGUCAGUCGCCCUCUUGAACAAACCGGAACGUCGCUUGUAGAAGGUGAGAUCACGUUCUUUAUCAUUGUGGAUGUAUGCCACACCUGACCGUCGCUCUUUCCUCGGCAUACUAAUGUGGACAAAGAGGAAUAAACUAACUACUAAAAAUAGGAAGCACAAGGAUCUACAGAAAACUAGAGAUUUAGGGGUACUGUUGGCUAACCACAUAUUGGUGUAGGAUAUGAGAAGAUGUACUCCCCUUAUAUAGAAUUAAAAGGGUUGUAUGGCAAUGCUAUUUGACUAUACAAAUACCAUGUAAAUCUUUAGUAAAAAUUAACAUACAUAACUCAUAAAAAGUGCUAUUUUAUGGAUACUAUUAACUAUCGUCGAAAUAUACAUAUGUGAGUGCAUCCACAUCCUUCUUUGCAACCACUGAUAUGUAUUUCUUCUUAUGUAAGUAUUCACAUCCAUAUAUAGAACUAUUAACACUUCUAAAAAUAGAAAUAUUAAAUGAUUGCCACUUGACCACAUCCUUAUCCUUAUCUAGAAGUAUUAAUGGGAGUAAAACCCAACUAAGUUUUACUCUAAUAUACAAAAUAAUUGUGGUCGAAUUUAUCCUGUUGUUAAUUGCGUCCAAAUCCUUUGUUGAUCACAUUGAUUACAUCCUAAUGUAUCAGUGAUCAUAUUGAUUACAUCCAUAUCCUGUACUAGGAACUACCUAAUCUAGAAGUGGUCGUCCUUUAAUCCAUAAUAUCCAAGUAUAACAUGGACCUUUCUUUGGGGCUUAACUUAGAAAUUGAGAUACCAACUAGGAAAGAUACACUAAGAGCAACUAGAAAAUACUAGGACAUUUGGUAAGUCAUGGUAUAACACAUAUGUUACUCGGAGCAUCAACCUGCCUCCUUGGUAAGCCCAGUUCCCAUGAAAGAUGUGUUUUAUCGGUUACACAUGUAUAUCUUGGGUCCUAGUUUUUUAUGGCCCAUAAAAUAAUAUGUGUAAGGCUUUUCCUUGAAGGAUCCAACACAACCUAAUCUGUUAUGUAUUAAAAGUAAUUGACGGGCUCACCAGAAAAAGAAAAAAAUGAUAGAAAAUAACUCAAAAAUAAAAACAACUCACUAUCUAUCUAUUAUAUAUUAAAAGCAAUUGACGGGCUCACCAAAAAGAGAUAAAAAAAUGCUAGAAGAUCUCUCAAAAAUCAAAAAACAUCCGACUGUCUAUUUAAUAGGAAAAUAUCAUAUAACCAUUAGAUUAGUGUUAAGCAAAUAAUUACCCACCAUUGCCAUUAUAAGAAAAAAAUCAUCGAACUUAUUAGGACGUGGGCUGAUGCCAUCUUAUUAGGAUGUGGGCUGAUGCCAUAUUAUAAUGGGAAAAACGUUAUGUUCCCAUAGUAUAAAAAGGGCUGCCCACACAUGAACACAGUGGCAGCAAUGUUGAUGUAAAUGAUCUUUGUGAUUAAUUCCCCCUUGGUAGAGUACCUAAAAAAGCAUCCAAAUUGGAUCUCCCCGGAGCAGAGAGGUGGGCGGCGCAAAAAUCCUCUGUUAAUAUUUCCGAGGUUUUUGGGAGUAUAUAAACGCAACGGAAGAAAUAUGCGAUGGAGGCAACCUCUGUGGCGACCAUGCUCCCCCUUGGAUGCUCGUGCUGACCUGUGGCAUGUGGCCUAGGGGGGGCCAUGUGGGUCUAGGUCCCUCCGGCUUCAUUUCUUCAUGAAACUUAGUAUUUUUUCUAGUUUUUUGGUCCCUAAAAAGUUGAUUUGUUUUUAAAAAUCCAAAAAAACAACUGGCACUUUGCAAUAUUAAUAGGUUAAUCAAGAAAAAACUAUAAUAGUUGAUGCCAAUACUAUGCCAUUACGAUAUAAGUAUAGCAUGAAACAAUAAAAUUUUCUUGAUACGUAUAGGACAUAUCAACUAGCAUGAAUAAAUUGAUGUUUUUCUAGGGCUUGUUAAUACUCAAGAAUAUUGUUCUCCUAGAUAAACAGACACAAGGUACUCCUUGGUUCCUACUGGUCCGAUGUCCACACUAAAAUUGUGACUAGCAUGAAUAAAUUGAUGGCUUUCUGUAUCGCUCACUAUUACUUGAUGACACUUUUCUGCUGGGUAGCUGGACAGAAGCGAGGUUCUUCCAACCAAUUAGAAAUGGGUGGCUCCCAUUAUGUAGCCAUCUGCACGUUACUACAAGCUAAAAUGGUGACAAGCACGAAUAAAUCGUUAUAUUUCUCCAAGGCUCAUUAAUAAUGCAUGGUACUAUUCGGUUGGAUAGCCACAUAGGUACUCCUUUUCAAUUUGAGGGGACGACUCUUGGCCUGCAUCCAUCUGUCUGGUGACUAGUACAAAUAAAUUGGUGUCUUUCUAUACAACAAAUGAUUGAUGGUACUAUUCGGCCAGACAGAAGCAAGGUACUCCCUGGUUCCCUGCCGAUUCAAGGCGGAUGGCUGCUGGUAAUAUGUGCAUUAAUCCAAACUAAAACGGUAACUAGCACGAAUAAAUCGAUGCGUUUCUUUUUGGCUCUUUAAUACUUCCACUUUUCGACUAGGUUGUCUAAAAACAUGAGGUGGGCAGCUCCUGAUACGGAGCCGCAUGCACAUUAAUCCAUGCUAAAAGGGUGACUUGCACAAAUAUAUCGAUGUCUUUCACUAGGGCUCAUUAACACUUGAUGGUAUCGUUUGGUUGGACAACUGGACAGAAAGCAAGGUAUACCUUGAUUUCUUGUCCAUAUAGGGUGGAAGGCUCCAGGCACGGCCAGUUACACAUUAAUCCGGGCUCGUCUAACACGAAUAAAUGGAUGUCUUUCUCUAUGUUUCACUAAUACUUGAUGGCGCUCUUUGGUAAGGAGGUGUACAAAAGCGAGGUACUCCGUUCUGAUUUCGGGUGGUUGUGGGGCCACUAGACGGACACAAGCAAGAUGCUCCCUUUUAUUUGGAAGGAUAUUUUAAAUAUUUUUUAUUUCAUAAAUUUCAAAAAUAUAACCCUAAAAUAUAAUAUUUCACCAGUAGUACUCCGACCUGUCGGUGCCAACAAUGAUAGGUAUCGUUGGCACUACCAAUGAUACAUCUGUUGUAGUUUUGAGUCACAUGGGCCAUCAUCAGUGCAUCUUGCAUCAGCCCUCCCGCAUGACACACUCUUACAGAGCUAGCUACGUUAGAGCGUGUACAAUGGUGCUAUCUUUGCAAUGUCACGUAAGAUCACUCCUGAGUUAGAAAAGGGCGAAUGGAGGGAAAAACGGCUUGCCAUCUCUUACCUACGAGAUGGUCUCUGAGUAAAGAAGAUAAGACAAUUCCAUCCAUUGUACUAGAUGUCAUCUCUUAGCUACAUAUUUUCUAGUUUAAUUUUAACCAUCGCAUUAAUUUAAGAGCAUGUAAACGUUGCUUGUUAGGCUAAGAGCUAAUCCAUUGUAUAAUAUGAUUUUAAGCUUCUCCAAAUGACAUACAUAGCAUACGAGAAUAUUAUAACGGAUAAUUAUUUGUGUACAAUGUGCUCGGGGUAUUAUGAAGAUAUAAAGCAUGUGCUAUUUGAAUGUAAUGUUGCAAGGGAGGUUUGGAACAAUCUUGGUCUACUAGAACUCACCGAAGAGGCAUGCAUGCUGGACCAUUCAGGUAGUAUUUAUUUCACAAAUUCACCAACGUUUUUUAAUUUGCUAAUAUUUAUUUUUGAAAGCAUGCUUUUUUUAGUUUGAGAAAUUUUAAAUUUUCAUGUAUUAUUUUUAAUAGGGGAAUUUAUAACAUGCUGAGCAUUUUUAAAUAUCCUAAACAUUUAUUUUAAAUACAAAAUAAUUUUGAUAAAGUUGCAAACAUACUUCAAAUCCAUGAAUUCAUUUUCAAACUUGGAAGCAUUUAUUAAAAUUCUUGAAAAUAUGGUGAAAAUGAGAAAAAUUUGUCAGCAUUUGUAGGCGAACUUUUAGUUAGUUUUCUACUCCCUCUGUCCCAUAAUGUAAGACGUUUUUUGACACAACACUAGAGUCAAAAAACGUCCUAUGCUAUGGGACGGAGGGAGAAGUAAACAACUCAAAAAUAGAUCAGUACAACCGAGAAAAGUUGUUGCAGAAUUAUUUAUGUUACAACCAUUCAGCCAAUCAAAUCUGGAUCGCCACCAUCAAGUCAUGGAGAGUAGCACCACCAGUCCAGUUCUUGAUUCUCUAGAUGAACAAUUCAUUCAUUCUAACAUCAUAUCUUCUAAGUCUUUGAUGAGUCCUAAUUCAUUUUAGAACCAUACCUCGUUAAUUUUACAUAACAAAAGAUCCCAUAUGUCUGUCUUGCGUUGAAAUAAAACUUUGGAGAGAACCCUCGAGAAUUCAAUCGAAGCUGAUGUAUGUUUUCACUAGAUCAAGCUUAUUGGCCGAAUGGGUACCAUUCAGGUUGUUAUACUGUUAGAUUUUGUGGAAGCAUUCAAAGGCUACCAUGAUGUUAUUUGUAAUCAUUCGAUUGUGAAUAAAAACACCUUCUCCUUAGGAUAUGAGAUUGUCUAUUAGGGGAGGGGGAGAGAUGAUUGACCAAACACAUCGAUACGACUUUGUAUGAGAUGUUCUAGACUGGUCGGUAAACACUACAGGAAUCAGCUACUUUGCCGUCUGCCGCGGCGGACGGCAAAGGCAUGAACGGCGGACGGCAAAGGCCUUUGCCGUCAGCCGCGGACGGCAAAAGGCUCCGGCAAAGUAGGCUACGGUAAAGACCUACUUUGCCGUCUGCUUUCGGCGGCUGACGGCAAAGGCGCCUUUGCCGUCUGCCGCGGACGGCAAAGAAGCGGACGGCAAAAUGAGUAGUGUUAGUGUCCGUUAGGUGGCUAACGGCAGCCUUUGUCGUCCGCCAGCUGACGGCAAAGGCUGCAGGCUCUUUGCCAUCUGUUGGCAGAUGGCAAAGAGACCAAAUAGGCAUUAAUUCUGUUUCUUCUUAUAUCAAUUCAUUUACACAGAAAAUCAAACACACACACACACACANNNNNNNNNNNNNNNNNNNNNNNNNNNNNNNNNNNNNNNNNNNNNNNNNNNNNNNNNNNNNNNNNNNNNNNNNNNNNNNNNNNNNNNNNNNNNNNNNNNNNNNNNNNNNNNNNNNNNNNNNNNNNNNNNNNNNNNNNNNNNNNNNNNNNNNNNNNNNNNNNNNNNNNNNNNNNNNNNNNNNNNNNNNNNNNNNNNNNNNNNNNNNNNNNNNNNNNNNNNNNNNNNNNNNNNNNNNNNNNNNNNNNNNNNNNNNNNNNNNNNNNNNNNNNNNNNNNNNNNNNNNNNNNNNNNNNNNNNNNNNNNNNNNNNNNNNNNNNNNNNNNNNNNNNNNNNNNNNNNNNNNNNNNNNNNNNNNNNNNNNNNNNNNNNNNNNNNNNNNNNNNNNNNNNNNNNNNNNNNNNNNNNNNNNNNNNNNNNNNNNNNNNNNNNCAACACAUGUUACCAAUAUAUAGUCAUGAACACAUAUAUAUCCAACACAUAUCCAUGAACACAUAUCCAACAAAUAUUACAAGGAAUGAUCUAAAACUAAAUAUCUAUUUUCCUAAAAUACUAUCUUAUUACUAAGAUCUUCUCCGGAUCUUCUUCUUUUCUUCCAACCUGCAUAACAAAAACACUAAGAAAGAGAGAAUGGGUUAGGAGUAGAAAUGUAGCAUUUCACUUGGUGAAAUGCAAUGCCCUAGGAGCCAGUACUUGAGAUCAAGAUAAUCAGCCAACCAGACCAAGUCCCAACACAUCCAACCACCACCAGCUUAGAAGAGAUAACUAUUAAGGAGAGCUAUAGAAGACCUCAAGGUAUACUUGAGGGAUUAUGUGCUCAGACAGCCUGGAAGUGCCAGGGCUAGUUCAUCACAGCACAGGGAUAGUCACAUGUAAAUUAAGCCUAAGAGAGGGGGGCUCAGACCAGCAUCACUGCCCAAAUCAGAUGUAGUAUCUGUCUUAUCAGUAGAAAACUAGGAAAGUAACAGCCAAAACCAAGUAUAGCAUCUGUUCAUAGGCUAUUAGAAAGAGACAAAUUGGAAUAGCCAAACCAAGUGGUAUCUGUUCAUAUCAGUAUUAGAAGUAAAAUAACUAAGAACAAGUGAGUAUCUGUUCAUGAGUGAAGUAACUGACCAAAGUAACAACUCCAGGAUCAACUAAACAGAACAGAGCAGUACAAGAGUAUAUAUACUUCACAAAUACACAUAGAUGGUCACUGACCAAAACCCUGACACAGCAAGAAUCCAUCACAGAGAGCUCCAAUACAAGUUGAUGCUCAUCUACAGCAGCUAACCACAGCUAAUAGAGCCUCACAUCCCACAAGAUCAAGAUCUAGAGCUAUGCAUUAGAGAGAUCAGGAGGGGAGCAAGGAGAAGCUCACCAAAAGGAGUUGUAGCCGAAGUAGGAUGCAGCCACACCAUCACUAUGGUGUGACCAGCAUCACAACCAACACCACCACAACAAGCCAGAGCUUGCCAGAGAGCACCACAACGGCGGCACCAGUGAGAGCACGGGCACGAAGGCGCCAACCAGGGGCACCGCAGCACGGAGGCGCCACCCAGGGGCACCACCGCGCCACGGCACAUCCAGCGCCGCCGGCGACGUGGGCACAGCCAGCACCACCGCGCCACGGCACAUCCAGCACCGCCGGCGACGUGGGCACAUCCAGCACCACCGCGCCACGGCACAUCCCACAACCACAACCACGGCACAUUCAUGUGGCCCCAGGGCACUUUUUAGGUAUACAUCUUUCUGUGGUACCAAGUUAAAAAAAAUCUUGGUACUAGUUGGCCCCAGACGCACAGAGGUCAGGUUUCUGAAUAUAGCAAUGAGCUGCUUCGGAGGUUCUGGCUGAAUCCAAAUCUGCAGCAAGAACAUACAUGCACAACUGAAACUGGUAGAGAAGACAUGGUAUGACGAUGCAGAAGAUUUAUAUUUAAGUGGUGCGCAGAAAUUAAGUAUACCAUUUGGUACCCAAAACACAGAGUCAGUGUUGACAGGUUCCUGGCACCAACACUCGUUGACAGGCAUUCGCUGAGCGCGAAUGGCUCUUGCCAUGCCUUGGCUUUAGAAGCGAGUACUAAACCGCGAAGCUCAGGAACGUAGCCAAAGCGCACUGGAGGGUUAUUGAAGAGCCAACAUUUGCACUCCACUUGUCUAAGCUUGGGGACAGAGACGAGCUCGAUCCGUGUGCACAAAAGGCCGAUGAACUCAAGCUCCUGGAGCUCAAAGCACGGCACAUCGAUCUUGAGCGUGGAGUGCAGAUCAAGCAGUCUGCAGAAUCUCAAGCUGAGGUGCCUGAGCCUACUGCAAGUGCUAAUGAGGUCAGGUGAGGGGAAGACGUGUAGAAGCUGAGGACGAGCACCUUGAGGGCACCACUCUCGCACACUCCCUCGGCGGGAGGCACCCGAGUGAGCAAGGCCCGCGCCGCGCCCGUGAACGCGUCCAUGACCUGGAGCGAUGUGGCGCCGCGGAAGUGACCGGCGUCGAGGUGCACGAGCGAGAGGUGGCUGGGGAGGUGCCGCCACCGCGUGGAGAGCGCGCCGGCGCGGACCACCUCGCGCAGGUGGAGGCGCUCGAGGAUGUCGAGGAGGAGGUGGUCGGGGAGGGCGCUGAUUCCGUCCUCGCCGACGUGGCCGGCGUUGCGCUUGGGCGGCGGCAACUCCAUGGUCCCGACCGAUUGACUGAAACCCUAGCUCGAAUCAAUGCGCCCCAGGCGGCGGCCUCCUAUUCGAGGUCGCGGCUCCCCCACCUUGUGCCUGCCGCGCGAUCCGGUGGCGAGGCCCGCCGGGAGGUCGGUGGCGCCGCCCGCGGCAUCCCCGGGGCGCCGGUCCCAGGCGACGGAGACGGAGAGCAGGUGCGAGAAGUCCGGGCAGCAGCCCCGCGGGGCCUCGGCGGGCGCCCGGGAGAGGGAGACCGCGGCGGCGAGGAACCCGGCGAGGCCGAAGAGGAGGCAGGCCGCGGAGACGGCCGGCGAGGAUAGGAGGCGGCGGAGCGAGGAGCGGCGGGGGCGGCGGUGGGUGCGGAUCUGGAGGGCCUCGGGGAGGGGAGAGAGGGAGAGAAGAGAUAACGGCGGGGGGGAGAGAGGGAGAGAAGAGAUAACGUGCGGUGGGUGUGGAUCUGGUUUGCCGUCCGCUGUUUUAUCUCUUUGCCGUCUGCUAGCAGACGGCAAAGUGGGGGUGUUUUUUUUUCGUAAACGGCUCGUUAGUGGGGGGCCACCUCUCUCUUUACCGUCCGCCAGCUGACGGCAAAGAUUCUUUGCCGUCCGCCCGCUGACGGCAAAGAACUGACUGAUGGCAAAGGCCUGUUUUGCUGUCUGCCAUUUUCUUUGCCGUCUGCUUUUGGGUAGCUGAUGGCAAAGACCUUCUUUGCCAUCCGCUAGCAGACGGCAAAGAGCUGGCAGAUGGAAAAUUAGCUGAUUCCAGUAGUGAAACCUUCAAAGACUCAUAUGUAUUUGCCUUCUAGAUAAGAACUAUCAUUUUGUAAUUGAUUCCCCCUUGAUCGUUUCCCAGUUCCAUUGAAAUCGUGCCUGGAAGCCAUCACGCCUCUGUGCCUUCAACAAGCCAAGUUUAAAAAGUGUGUCACUAACCUCCUUCUCGGUGAAAUUCUGGAUCAAACCUUCAUUCAACAGAUCAGUCACUUCCAAAGGAAACAUCUCAAGGUAGCUAGAAACACUUGGUUGCAAUUUCCUCUAGGUGCUCAGGUUUCUCCGCGAGGUUCCGUUGCUGUCGUUCAACCUCUUAAUUUUAUGACAUCAAGUGCAUUCUAAAUGACAUUUUUUUUUGUCAGCAAUUACUAGCUGUGAUAUUAUUUCAAUUACCAAAUCACAUAUACCUAAGAGAUCCAUCCCCACUAUCUAUAUAUCUAAACAUGCAGCCUAUCCACCUUAGCAGCCCUGCCACAUCAGCAACUUUAGUGUAUAAUGCCAUGUAGGAGCUCAACAUUUCUAUAACUAGACGAUACCCCGCACAUUGUUGCGGGGAUUGUUUGUUAUAUAUUUGAUGAAGUACUACAUGAAUAUCUGAUUAUUGUAUAGAUGUAGGAUAUUUUUUGAACAUAAGUAGGAUAAUAGUUUUCACAUCGAUGGUUGCAUGUUGUAGUGGAUCUUUUCCCGUGCAUGUUCUCAUGUUGAGGCGGUCCUUUACCCAUGUAUGAUUGUAUGAUGAGGUGGCAUAGUCGCAUGCUGACAUAAAUACAAGUAGUACCAACAACCAUAUCUAUAUAGAUGCCUCUAGGAAUUCAAAUCAGAGAUCUAGCUUGUGCUCCAUAGAACUCAACGUAAGAGUUAUCUACAUUUUGAGGCUUAAUUGGAAAGAUUUGUAUAAUUACACUAGCUAGCUAGUGUUUCCUUUUUUCUAUUCCCUCCUUGUACAUACGUAUCACAAAGAAAAUAAAAAUAAAUAAACAUAUGUAGGACAAGACUAUUGUCGCUCGUAGAAAACUUCCCUUUGAUAUUCAACCACACUAAGUACCACUAAGAUUUGCCCUCUCUUUAUAUAAUUAUAAUUUCCUCUCUCUCUCUCUCUCUCUUUUUGUAAUAAUGAAUAUCUAGUUCUGGUGGAUUCUUUGUAUUUUCAAAGUGACAACCGCAAAACAAUUAGUGAUUUCUACGAGUCAUUCAGCGCCGCAAAAUCACCCGUUAGUGAUAGGAAACCUGCAUUUGAUGAGUAUUAAGACGGUUUGAUGAUGUGUUACCUACCAGUCCGUCAUGGAUGGAGUGUCGGUUACAGGCCACUCUCUAGUAGUACAUGAUAUUACGCCAUCCAGUCUAAGCCAGGUUUAUAAUAAGUGUGAUGUGAUUGUAAUAUUUGAAGUGCUUUUAUAUGUUGGCACCAUCAGUGUAUGUCUUCUUAAGUACGAUGUCCAUCUAGUCUAAAAAUUAUCUCUCCAAGCUUGGUGUUAUUUUAAAUAUGAAGGUCAUGUUGCAUCAUAAACUUGAUCAUUGAAAUUAUGACAUGCGAAAGUAUGAGAUUAGGUGUUUCUUUUUUAUGUUCUUAGCCAUAUACAUGUUGUUUUAACUAAUGACAAUAUAUCUUGUCACCAUGACUAUUCUUAGAUUAGUUAUUUACCAAAGCUCAUGCAUGCCAUCAACCAAAAAGAAUUGUGUUUAUAGUAAGUUAUAUGUGAGUUCUAGAUUUAGGUUGUUCUUCUAUAAAAGUGGCUACAUGUGUUGAUUAACUGAUGUCUUCUAUGAGAUGGUCGUUAUGUCCUUGUAAGUUUGUAGUAAUUGCAAUGAUUAAUGACAUACUUUAAAAUUAAGACAAUUUAGAAUAUAUUCAUGGAGAGCUCUAGAUCCACGGUACUUUUCAAUGUUGUUAAUGGUGCAUAUGUGGUAACAAUGGAUCACAGGUGGCCACCAUCUCUUCACAUGUCUACUAUGGUUCUAAUUUCUUGAUAAGGCAUAUUCACCUCUAUUAAGAAAACCUUGAUUUCUCAUAUUCAUUAAUUCAUAUAUGAGAUGAAGUUGUUGUUCUUGGUAGUGUUAUGCAACCAGAAAAAGUAAUGGAUUCUAGUCUCUUGAGUUGAAGUUUGGACUUGUGCUAUCUUUUAAUUUAAUUAUUUAAUGAGCAUGCUUCUAUUUUAGUUGACACGCUAAUGUUUGCCUCACAAUAUUCUAAGAGGUGCAUUGUUGUAAAUACAUGUUCCACUUCCUUCAUUCGUAAGAUGACAAUGAUCUAAACAACAACAACAAAACUGUAGGUAUUGGUGAAAACACACCAUGGACCAAGACCUUGAACACUUAGCAUGCAUAUGUUUCCCAAAGAUCCUAAUUAAGAAAACAGUCCAAAGGGUAAUGAAUUUGGAAACAAAUAUAUUUUAUUUCAAUAUAGCUCUUAAAUGUAAGCACUAAAUAGCAUCUACAAAAGCUCUCCAUAGUCUAUAAGACCAUCAAUAUCUUGCCCAGUGGAAGAGGGCGGCACAUCAAACCAUCCACCAUUUACCAUGGCAGACUGUCCUAGAUCGGUACCGCUAGAGCCUAAGUAAUCAUCAAUCCCUAGGAAACUAUUGUAGAACGACUGGUCUGAUAGAGAAUAAUCCCAUUGUUCACUGUUAAAUGGGUCAUCAAUAGAAAAAGCAUUGCCACUCGAGUACCCCAAUAGUGGAGAGGCCUCCAAAUUCUGCCCCGAUGUUGAGUCAUGGUUUGCAUCACUUUGUUGUGUUUGCACUAUGUUGCAAGGACUUUCAUAGUUCUGAACAUGCAACUCCUCUAGUUGAGUUUGCUCAUGUACCUGAUUUGGUAUGGGUUGGACAUGGGAAGCCAAGUGUGGAGCUAAAGAUGGUGGUGCAAAAUCAAACAUUUGUGGUACCUGCAUAGGAAAAAGUGGUGCCGAAGUUUGUUCUGGUUGUGCUGGUAGUGGAUCUGUAGGUGGCUGGAGUUGUGAGAGAUUGUGAGGCCACGAUGACUGCAUUAGUGAAUGAGUAGUACCCAAAUGAUCCGUCGGCGGAACAAUUGGUAGUUGCAGAUCUUGUGCCACACAUGUGCCACUGGUCUUGGCUUCACGACCAUGCAAUGGAGGUAGCUGGCAUCUAAUGUCUUUUUGGACCCGAGAGAGCUCACUGAAGAGCUUGUUCAGAUCUUCAAGACCGAGAUCUUUUUCCUUCGUGAAGAUAAGAUUUGCCACCAUACCUGGGUUCUCUUCUUGUAUAUUUUUCAUACGAAGGAUGGAAAGUUGGGUUUUGUCUUCCUCGGUCAUGUUCUCCAUGUCCAACUGAGCCACCUCGUUUUGUAGGCUUCCAAUCCUAGCAGUGGUUGCCUCGUCAGCGGAGGGAACUGCUGGUGGAGCUCCAAAUAGGAAAGCAUCAACAAUGGGAUCGGCCAAUGGCGUCCCAAAUGAGUGCAUCUUUCCAUUGUUUGUUUCUAGGACGACCGCAACCCUAGCCCUAGCGAGGGCAGAGAUGUCAGUCACCCUCUUGAACAAACCGGAACGUCGCUUGUAGAAGGUGAGAUCACGGUCUUUGUCAUUAUGGAUGUAUGCCACACCUGACCGCCGCUCUUUCCUCGGCAUACUAAUGUGGACAAAGAGGAAGAAACUUACUACUACAAAUAGGAAGCACAAGUAUCUACAGAAAACUAGAGAUUUAC
rnacentral:lncRNA from 1 species